AAGUCGUAACAAGGUUUCCGUAGGUGAACCUGCGGAAGGAUCACUAAAGAGAACUUGCCCUCCGGGGUAGAUCUCCCACCCUUUGUUUAUCACACCCUGUUGCUUUGGCGGGCCUGCCCCACGGCUGCCGGCGCGAGCCGGCGCGCGCCCGCCAGAGACCCCCAAACUCUGAAUAUUGUCGUCUGAGUGAUAUCUAAUAAGUUAAAACUUUCAACAACGGAUCUCUUGGUUCUG
rnacentral:misc_RNA from 1 species